GCUUCGUAGUGUAACGGUAGCACACUCGACUCUUAUUCGAGAAGUUCAGGUUCGAGACCCGUCGAGGGCA
rnacentral:tRNA from 1 species